ACAAAAUGGAGACAGCAAGAGAGAUCACCACAAAAUGCAGCAUGUGAAGCAGGACCAAUCUCACCCACUGUGAGACUUGUGAACUCCAAGGUGAUCAGAGCCUCAGAGAUCUGACUGUGACUGCAGCCCAGAAAAACUCUCUUGAAACCAGCAAUUUAAAAACCCAGAAAUACUUAAAGAUGCAGUCAUGUGGUGUGCGGAGGAACUGAUCUGAACUGUAACUGUAGCACAAGGAAGUGGGGUUAACGCUUUGUGGCUACAUUAAUUCUCCAACUGAAAUCCCCACUGAAGCUGCUAUUAACUAUGGAGGAGGUGAAAUGGAAACAGUUAUGGGCACUGCUCCCUCAACACCAUGGCCCCAUUUCCAAUCCCCCCGGCACUUUCAAAAAUAGAAAUAAAUGUUGGGAGUUUCAAUUAUGGACUUCAGGAGUUAAGAAUCGUUUCCAAACUCUGUUGAAACACUUGCAAGGAGGACAGGGGUGUAGCGAGGUUGUAGUGGACCAAGAGACAAGAUUUUAAAAUGGGCCCCCAACUCAUGAAGUAAAGAAAUCUUAAAUGAGGCUAAAUAGUGGUAACAAAAGGCAUAGUAAAUCUUAAUACUCACAUCAAUUUCAGAGGAUGAAUACAACUGAAGGAAGCCUGAGCGGGUGCGCAGCUGGAGGAGUCAGUCAUGUGACUUGCCUCGGGGGGGGCAAGGCAGUGGGCCCCCAUACAACUGUCUCCCCUUGCCCUAUUAUAGUUAUGCCCCUGAAGGAGGAAGAGGAACACAUUUUUAAGGGCAAUGAGUUCCAGAGAAAGAGAACAGCAAGAAACAAAGGCUGAAGCUGUGAAUUAGAAGGAACUUCUAAUUAGAAUUAGAAGAAACUUUCCAAAGAGAAAAUUUUGGAAGAGUGGAGAAGACACUCUUUCUAUAAUAAAGACAGAGCAAGGGUCAAAGAGGUAAGAAAUGUAGUAAGUAAAAGUGUAUCGGGUAUGGAAAGGGGAGUCAGUGAAUGGAAUAUAUAACAAAAGAGAAAUGUGGGCAAAAUGAAAUACAGGGGAAACAAUUAAGACAGCGGUGGAAUAAAUAACAGAAAAGAGAGAAUGAAGCUGAGAAAGAAGCAUAUCAGAAAGAAAAGAACGACAGUAGUAAAGCCAGGAAAGCAUGAGAGAACCACCCAAUGUCUUUGUAGUAGAGAGAGAGAAAUAGAAACAAGAAUUAAGUGAAAUUUAAAAUUUGGAAGUGUCAGGUUUUUGUGGUAGCAAAAGUUUUCUGUGCAUAAAAAGACAUUUUUGAAUAGAAAGAAAUAUGUUUUCUUUUGAUUAGGAAGAGAUGAGUCAAGGGAGAUCCUAAAGCUUUGUAGAAGGGGGAAAGGAAGAACAGAAGCAUUACCUCAAGUGUGGGGAAAGGAAGAAGGUAGAGAUAAAGAAGAUGGAGGACUGAUCAACAACUCAGUUUUGGAUAAACAAGAUAAUGGGAAGACAUUCAGUCAGAAAUAGCUACAAAGGAAGCAAAAAUGUUAGAAAAUGAAAUUGUUGGAUCAGAAGAAGAAAAGUAGGUUUGUUUGCAGGACAUUGGCAUAGAAGUGAUAAGGAAUGUUAAUGAACAAAUGACCAAGGGAAAAGAAAAGAACUAUGACAGAGCCUUGAGGCAUUCCAGCUGAGAGGAGGAAAGAAGCAGUGCCAUUAAUAGAUACAUAAAAAGAAUGCAUGAGAAUAGAAUGAUAAAUGCUAUUAAAGGCAAGUAAAAGAGCAGAAAGCCAACCCUGUGUGUUGGCAAGUAAAAUGCAGAUUCAGAUGCAGAGUCAUUUCAGGAACUCACUCUGUUCUUCUAGAGAGGUGGUUUUGGUUUUUGCUUUUACUCAUAAGUGGGAUAAAGCUGAGUAUAUAAAAUUAAAUAUUUUUAUUUCAGUCUUUAUUUAUUAUUUGAGGCUGAAAAUCAAAGUCAAUGUUCCCAAAACAAGGGUGUUCCACCCCCAUUAUAUCUUCUGCUAAACAGAGUAGAAUUAUCUCCAAGCAUAAUGGAUAUCAAAGUGGGAUUCUUGGAUCUUGCUUCCUUUUUGCCCCACACAGAAAGGAGUGAAUGACACAUUGGCCGCAUUCUCACAUAACAUGUAACGGAGGGUCCAAUGGAACCGCAGUUCCACCCUCCUGUGUAUUGACCUGUCUGCAUUCAGAUGCAAGCACCAGGACCUGAACUGCAGUUAGGGAGACUGCAGAGAGGAGGGGGGUCUGGCUGCAUAGGUGGGGAAACUGGCUGCCAGGCUUCCUCCUUUGCAUGAAGUACAGCCACAGCAGCCAACCAGAAUGGAGAGAGGGAGGAUCUUCCUUCCCUGAACUCCAGUCCCCAAGAAGGCUGCCUCCAGUAUAGCAUUCAGAUGUAACGCUGCUAAAUACAAACCUCAGGUCGGAGCAACGAAACUCACAACAACCUGAGGGUUCAAAUUGGAGUUUGGGGGUGAAAACCUCAGGUCUCUUUUUGAAUCAGACAGAGGUUGCAUGCAUUCGGACGUACAAGAAAUCCAACCUCUGCUCUCUUUAACUCUGGUUUCCCAUUACAUGCAAAUGUGGCAUAUCAGUUACUCUGCGCAAAGGGGAGUAUGCUAUCAAAGGAAGUGUACUAGAAGGAUAAUUAAAAGAAAUGGCCCUCCAUCUUUUUCAUUAUGUCUAUAAAGAGAAGUGAAGUUUCCUCACAAGGGUUUCUUUAAAAUGUUUGAAUCUAAUACAUCAAUCUCUGCUUAUUCAUCUGUUGUCUGUGAAUUAAAAGGUUCUUUGGACCCCA